rnacentral:rRNA from 1 species
GGGGAAUAUUGGGCAAUGGGGGAAACCCUGACCCAGCAACGCCGCGUGAAGGAAGAAGGCCUUCGGGUUGUAAACUUCUUUUACCAGGGACGAAGGACGUGACGGUACCUGGAGAAAAAGCAACGGCUAACUACGUGCCAGCAGCCGCGGUAAUACGUAGGUUGCAAGCGUUGUCCGGAUUUACUGGGUGUAAAGGGCGUGUAGGCGGAGAUGCAAGUUGGGAGUGAAAUCCAUGGGCUCAACCCAUGAACUGCUCUCAAAACUGUAUCCCUUGAGUAUCGGAGAGGCAAGCGGAAUUCCUAGUGUAGCGGUGAAAUGCGUAGAUAUUAGGAGGAACACCAGUGGCGAAGGCGGCUUGCUGGACGACAACUGACGCUGAGGCGCGAAAGCGUGGGGAGCAAAC